rnacentral:rRNA from 1 species
GACGAACGCUGGCGGCGUGCUUAACACAUGCAAGUCGAACGGAAAGGCCCUGCUUUUGUGGGGUGCUCGAGUGGCGAACGGGUGAGUAACACGUGAGUAACCUGCCCUUGACUUUGGGAUAACUUCAGGAAACUGGGGCUAAUACCGGAUAGGAGCUCCUGCUGCAUGGUGGGGGUUGGAAAGUUUCGGCGGUUGGGGAUGGACUCGCGGCUUAUCAGCUUGUUGGUGGGGUAGUUGCUUACCAAGGCUUUGACGGGUAGCCGGCCUGAGAGGGUGACCGGCCACAUUGGGACUGGGAUACGGCCCAGACUCCUACGGGAGGCAGCAGUGGGGAAUAUUGCACAAUGGGCGGAAGCCUGAUGCAGCAACGCCGCGUGCGGGAUGACGGCCUUCGGGUUGUAAACCGCUUUCGCCUGUGACGAAGCGUGAGUGACGGUAAUGGGUAAAGAAGCACCGGCUAACUACGUG